GAUGAACGCUGGCGGCGUGCCUAAUACAUGCAAGUCGAGCGAACGGACGAGAAGCUUGCUUCUCUGAUGUUAGCGGCGGACGGGUGAGUAACACGUGGAUAACCUACCUAUAAGACUGGGAUAACUUCGGGAAACCGGAGCUAAUACCGGAUAAUAUUUUGAACCGCAUGGUUCAAAAGUGAAAGACGGUCUUGCUGUCACUUAUAGAUGGAUCCGCGCUGCAUUAGCUAGUUGGUAAGGUAACGGCUUACCAAGGCAACGAUGCAUAGCCGACCUGAGAGGGUGAUCGGCCACACUGGAACUGAGACACGGUCCAGACUCCUACGGGAGGCAGCAGUAGGGAAUAUUCCGCAAUGGGCGAAAGCCUGACGGAGCAACGCCGCGUGAGUGAUGAAGGUCUUCGGAUCGUAAAACUCUGUUAUUAGGGAAGAACAUAUGUGUAAGUAACUGUGCCCAUCUUGACGGUACCUAAUCAGAAAGCAACGGCUAACUACGUG
rnacentral:rRNA from 1 species